rfam:Soil-borne cereal mosaic virus RNA1 complete genome
GCCGCUGGGAUUGCGGAUUAUAAAUCG